rnacentral:rRNA from 1 species
UGGACGCAAGUCUGAUCCAGCCAUUCCGCGUGCAGGACGAAGGCCUUCGGGUUGUAAACUGCUUUUGUACAGAACGAAAAGGUCUCUAUUAAUACUAGGGGCUCAUGACGGUACUGUAAGAAUAAGCACCGGCUAACUACGUGCCAGCAGCCGCGGUAAUACGUAGGGUGCAAGCGUUAAUCGGAAUUACUGGGCGUAAAGCGUGCGCAGGCGGUUAUAUAAGACAGAUGUGAAAUCCCCGGGCUCAACCUGGGAACUGCAUUUGUGACUGUAUAGCUGGAGUGCGGCAGAGGGGGAUGGAAUUCCGCGUGUAGCAGUGAAAUGCGUAGAUAUGCGGAGGAACACCGAUGGCGAAGGCAAUCCCCUGGGCCUGCACUGACGCUCAUGCACGAAAGCGUGGGGAGCAAACAGGAUUAGAUACCCUGGUAGUCCACGCCCUAAACGAUGUCAACUGGUUGUUGGGUCUUCACUGACUCAGUAACGAAGCUAACGCGUGAAGUUGACCGCCUGGGGAGUACGGCCGCAAGGUUGAAACUC